AAUCCCUGCGCGAAAAUUUCUCGAAAAUUAUCGAAGAAUUCCCCGGAUGAACACCUAGCCAGCGCGCGUAGUGGUCGAAGAAUAAAACCAGCGAAACGCAUAGCGGUGAAUAACUGCGGGCGAAUCGCAUAAUGUUCUGUUAUGCAGAUUUUCACGCCUAAGGGAUAAUCGCGAUACAGAGAGGUAGAAAUUGCGCCUCUACGCGCAGCUACGCGCACAUCUCGCAAAAAGGAAGAUAGGAAAAAAAAAGAAAAAAAGAAAGAAGCCUAGAGCAAGUUGGCAGCAGCAUGCAACGAAUCAACGUAAUUGCGGUGGUAGGCUGGUACCGAGAUUUCAACUGGACGCGAUAACGAGAGGUGGAAAGGCCUCGAAACGUUUCCAGGAAUUCGCCCAGUUCAAUUUGUUCAAACCGCCAACAACGCUCCUCCUAUUCCUCGAUCGGCGUAUCUUCGUGAAAUAGUCACGCUUCGAAAACGCUGCAUUCGCGUAAUAGUAUUCUCUCUGUCUCCCUCUGUCCCUCUCUUUCUCGUCUCGCGCGUCCCCUUUCCGUUAUUAUUUUAAUUACGGUCAGCGCGCGAGAACCGAGCGCCACGGGACGACGAAUGGAGGACGAGCGAAAUUGGAGAAAAUACCGAUGAAGUUUGCUGCUAAUGAGCUUGCGCUCGAAAGGUUAGUUGCAAUACUUCCCUUCUGUCGUUGAUUCUGGAUGAUUUCUGGAUGGAAUUACGCGCUGGUGAUGAUUCGUGUGUGAUGUUUCGACGAGAAAAAAGUAUUUGUAUAGGAAUAGUGGAUCGAAAGAAAAGAAAGGAAUAUAAACAAGCAAAUAGUAUACAGGAUCGAGCAUUCAUUUCGAGGAUUCUUCGUUGUCCUUUUCCAAUCCAAAACCGAUCUAGAAUUGAUACUGCUAUUUAUAGGCUAGCUUCGUUAAGAUUUGCACUCGGCCAGCUAUGAAUAAACAUGUGGCGGGAUGAUGUUCGAUCCGCUCUAAAAAUGACGGUGGAAACCGAUUCAUAACCAAUUUCGCUCUAUCGCGCUGAUUUUAAUUGCUCCGUGAAAACCGCUGGAACCAAACCGAGGAAAACAAGCGCUGUUGCAUGGCGGACGGAACCAAAGGCGUGCAAUCGCCAUGAUGAAUUCCAUCGAUCGAUAAACAAAUCGAACGAAUAAUUUACGUUUUCGAAUUUUCAUUUGAAACGUUCUUUCUUCUUCAUUCUCCUCUCCUUCUGGACUCUAUUAAACAUCGAAUGAAAUUACAAUCCCUGUAUUUCGAACAUUCCAAAAAUAUUCCUUUUCUCGAACCGAUCCUCUCCUCGUGAUAACAUGAACGAGUUUAAUAGAUCAGGUUUACGACGAGAAUACAAGCUUAAUUUCAACAAACAUAUCCGUAAAUUUACAGAAGGAGGGGAGAAAUUUGCUCUGCCCGAAACAAAGUAUCUAUCGAUGAAAGAUGAGAUGAAAAUUUAUCCAAAUUUAGCACGCUUGAGUAAAAUAAAAUUAAAGAAUUACGACAAGUUAGAAUAUUUUAUAUGAGAAAAAGAGAGAGAGAGGAUAGAUCAGGAGGAGGAGGAGAUGAACGAAGGAAAUUUGCAAGCGUGGGAAAAAGAGGAAUGAUAAGGACGGAAAAAGCAAAGUUCUUGGCCCGAUUAAAAUUGGCCAGGAUCCAACCGAGACCCACCACCGAGAUCUUAUUUGUCCAGAGUGGAUCCUGCAAUAAGGAAAAUUAAAGGAGAAAGGAAGGAAGAAAUUCUAAUGGGAGUUAACUCUCGUCGAGUCUUUUCAGUAGGGCGAAAGGGAAACUUGAAAUCAUCUUAUGCAGUUCGUAACGAAGAGAUAAAGAUACAAGGAACCUAUUCACAAAUCAAUAUUCGCGAUCUUAUUAUUUCGAGAUAACGAAAUCUAACGCGAAUCACUCGAUUUUUAAUUUUUAGAAUACUUUUUGUUAUAAUAACAUAAAAAUAUAACUAAAUAUAUGUAUAAAUUAACGUUUAAUUAGCAUAGAAUAAGAAUGAAAAUAACAUAAUUAUCAAUGUAUAAAAAAAUAGAAUAUAUUUUGCCCCGUGGCGACCGAGACUCGCCUCUCGAGCGCAAAAGCAUUGAAUAAGUUAAAAUGCAGGAACAAAUGUGCUUAACGAUUAAUUAGAAAUGCACGACUCGGAAUGAAUAAUUCGUGUAAUUUCUAAUCGGUUGAUGGCAUCGUGGAACGGAAGACCUCGUUUCAAUUACACGUUUAGAAGAAUCUCGAUGAAAUUUAUAUAAAAUUAACUCUCGUAUUAAUAGAGUGUGUAAAUCGAAUGUUUAAUCAACGCUUAAACUACCAUUAUUAUCGAUAAUAUCUUUAACAAUAUGCUCGAUUAAAAUAUUUUGCAAAAUCA